rnacentral:rRNA from 1 species
CCUACGGGAGGCAGCAGUGAGGAAUAUUGGUCAAUGGACGAGAGUCUGAACCAGCCAAGUAGCGUGAAGGAUGACUGCCCUAUGGGUUGUAAACUUCUUUUAUAUGGGAAUAAAAUGUUCCACGUGUGGGAUUUUGUAUGUACCAUAUGAAUACGGAUCGGCUAACUCCGUGCCAGCAGCCGCGGUAAUACGGAGGAUCCGAGCGUUAUCCGGAUUUAUUGGGUUUAAAGGUAGCGUAGGUGGAUGGUUAAGUCAGUUGUGAAAGUUUGCGGCGCAACCGUAAAAUUGCAGUUGAAACUGGCAGUGUGGAGUACAGUAGAGGGGGGCGGAAUGCGGGGUGUAGCGGUGAAAUGCUGAGAGAUCACGAAGAACUCCGAGUGCGAAGGAAGUUCACUGGACUGCAACUGACACGGAGGCUCGAAAGUGUGGGUAUCAAACAGGAUUAGAUACCCCUGUAGUC